rnacentral:rRNA from 1 species
UAGGGAAUCUUCCGCAAUGGGCGAAAGCUUGACGGAGCAACGCCGCGUGAGUGAUGAAGGUCUUCGGAUCGUAAGACUCUGUUAUUAGGGAAGAACAAAUGUGUAAGUAACUAUGCACGUCUUGACGGUACCUAAUCAGAAAGCCACGGCUAACUACGUGCCAGCAGCCGCGGUAAUACGUAGGUGGCAAGCGUUAUCCGGAAUUAUUGGGCGUAAAGCGCGCGUAGGCGGUUUUUUAAGUCUGAUGUGAAAGCCCACGGCUCAACCGUGGAGGGUCAUUGGAAACUGGAAAACUUGAGUGCAGAAGAGGAAAGUGGAAUUCCAUGUGUAGCGGUGAAAUGCGCAGAGAUAUGGAGGAACACCAGUGGCGAAGGCGACUUUCUGGUCUGUAACUGACGCUGAUGUGCGAAAGCGUGGGGAUCAAACAGG